CGCCUUGCCAGCCCGCUACAGAAACUUAAAGGAAUUGACGGGGCCCGCACAAGCGGAGGAGCAUGUGGUUUAAUUCGAUGAUACGCGAGGAACCUUACCCGGGCUCGAACGUAAGAUGACUGUAGGUGAAAGCUUACAUCUCUUCGGAGCAUUUUACGAGGUGCUGCAUGGUUGUCGUCAGCUCGUGCCGUGAGGUGUCGGGUUAAGUCCCAUAACGAGCGCAACCCCUACCUUUAGUUGCCAUCAGGUAAUGCUGGGGACUCUAAAGGAACUGCCUACGCAAGUAGUGAGGAAGGUGGGGAUGACGUCAAAUCAGCACGGCCCUUACGUCCAGGGCUACACACGUGCUACAAUGGCCGGUACAAAGGGCAGCUACCUGGUGACAGGAUGCUAAUCUCAAAAGCCGGUCUCAGUUCGGAUCGGAGUCUGCAACCCGACUCCGUGAAGCUGGAAUCGUCUAGUAAUCGCGCAUCAGCCAUGGCGCGGUGAAUACGUUCCCGGGCCUU
rnacentral:rRNA from 1 species